GCGGCUCAAAGCCGGGCCGCUGGAGCGGGCUGAAAGCAGCCUCCUGAAGAGUUCACACCCUGCCCUCCGCCCUCCGCCGACCCUUUGUCCACGACGGCUCCAUCCUCCAGCCCGGACGCGGCGGAGACACAAAAGGGGCCGCCCCCGAACGGCCUCCUUGCAGGAGGCCAACAGCCCAGGGCUCGGAUUAUUCUUCUGAGCAGCCGCGUUUCACAAAGUGCAGGCGUCCUUUCUACCCGGUUGGACCGACUUCUUCCUGUCACCUUGUAAGAGAAGAAUGAAAUGACACUCAACAUUGGUGGUUCGUGGGAAAGAAAAUUGGGAUCGCUGAGGAACUUUCAGAAGCAGGAGAUUAAAUUUUGACUUUCUGUCCCAUGGAGGCAGCUCUCAGGUUCUGAAGAAGCUAGCUCACCAACCAGAAGAACUCAUCUCUGCUGAGAGAUUAACCAACAGCCACGCUGGAUUUUCCAGUGACUGCAGAACCUCGUGCCUGAAGAACAAGCAGCUAUUCACCAGGACUCCUCACAAGAAAAAUCAAAAUCAUGAACACUCCCCUGAUGCCUCAUUUUAAGUCUUCCAUUACAAACAAAAUGCAACAAAACAAAAUACAAGAGUUAAAAGGAAUAUGUGGUAACCCGCAUCAGAACUCUGUCAUUUCAGUGAUUUAAGCAACAAAAUCCUCUCCAGUUUUAGGCCAAGCACUGUGCUGGAUGCUGGAGACAGAGAGCCAAGAUUCCUGUGCUGUUUUCAAGAAGCUCACUGGCUGGUGGUUCCAACACAGCGAGAGAACAGAGAAGUCCCUGGUGCCCAGAGGUGCCCCCUCACCUCCCCCACCACCGCCACCCCAGACCUGUUGGGUCCUAGAGGCUACUUCAGUUGGGAGUGGGCUGGUGAGAAUAAUUCAUUUCAGAGGACUGCCCUAACAAAUUACCACAAACUGGUUACCUUCAAAGAACAGAAAUCUAUUCCGUCACAGUGCUGGAGGCUAGCAGUCUACAUACAAGGUGUUGGCAGGUUUGGUUCCUUCUGUAGACCAGGAAGGAGGAAACGUCCAUGCCUCUCUCCCAGCUUCUGGUAUUGCAACAAUCCUUGGCCUUCCCUAGUUUGUAGAGGCAACAUUCCAAUCUCUGCUUUUGUCUCUGUGAGGACUUACUGGUGUUUCUUCUCCUUUUCUUAUAAGGACAUCAGUCAUAUUGGCUUGUGGGGUCCACCCCCUUGAAUGCUUCCAUCUUGGCUAAUUACAGCUGUAAAGACCUCAUUGACUAAGAAGAUGACAUUCUUAGGUUCCUGAUAAACAUACAUUUGGGGUCAAUACUAUUCAACCCAAUACAGAGGGCAUUUCAGGCAAGGAUGCCAGAGACACAAAGCAUCCUAAGAAUUGCAGGUAGUUCCUUGCAGCUUCAGAAUAAGAUGCAAAAGAAGUAUGGGGAGAGUUGGAUUGGAAAGGGAGGCAGAAGCAGGUCAAAACGGAUCUUAUCUAAGAUAUUGAGGAGUUUGGAUAUUACAAAGGUGGCAAAAGAAAGUGGGUUUAAAGCAAGUAAACGUUAAAAACACAUUUUGCUAGGGAUAUAGAUAUUUGGAAAGUAGUGAAAUUGGAAGCAGGUGUAUCAGGUGGGGUGGUGGUGCAGUAAUUCAAGAUGAGACUAUAAUAACACCAUGCCCAUGGGGAUGAAAGGAGAAAAAAAAUACAAUUUUUUAAUUAAUAAAUUAUAAUUUUCAGAAUUUCAAGUGGGUAGAAUUAACAAAAUAUAUAUGUUUUAAGAGUGAAGAUGUGGGAAGCUGGCAAGAGAAAUGAGGUUAAUCAUCAAAUCAUUAUGCAAGGUCAGAAAUAGAUUCUUAAGAAGAAACAGACUUGAAGACUAGAGCACACUGGAAACUGGUUCGAUUUUGUGUAUGCAUGCGUGUGUGCGUGCGUGCGUAUGUGUUGGUAUAUGCAUUAGAGAGGGUGAAUUUCUACUCUGCCAUAUUCAUGGAAAACAGCAAUACUUAAUUGAUACCUAAGGUGAGACUUUCAGCCUUUUCCAAGAUCUCUAAAUAAUGAAGAUACAGCCACAGACAGCAACUUGACCCACUAAAGAGAUAUGAAGAGGGAGAGAAAUGGCAGUAUUUCCACUCUAGACAGAACACUUCAUUAAAAACAAUCCUCAAUAAAUAUUGAAACAAAGGUACUUCUCUCUCAUUUAUUGCCAACCCACUCACCUUUUACUCAUUGAUAUGUUCAAUGACCGGUGUGUUUGCAGUACUUGUAAGUACUCAUGCUCUUUCUUAAGUGGUCAGAAAGAUGAUCACAGAACAAGAGCCUCAACUCCAAUAAAUAGAACACUACACAUUUAAUACAGGCCAGCAAAAUGGACUAUAAUAUUUAGUCAAACAAGACCAAAAUUCAAUUCAACUCAGAAAAAAAUCUGAAGCACGAAGCUAAUCAUAGGCUCGGAUAUUUAUCCCAGUAUAUGGUUGAUAAUUACUGUGAUGCAUGACAAGAGUUUGUGUCAAAAACCAAAAGAGGGCAUCUGCUCGCUUUUCUAGAUAAAAAAAAAUUAAUUCUUAGCAAUUCUGAAGCAACGGAAGCUCCUACCUGUUUCAACAAAGUUCAAGACAUUUUAAGACAUAGUCAAACUAGUUUAAAUUGAUUCUCUGCAUUUGGUGUAAAUUCAGAAAGAAGUUAUUUCUGCAAUGUAAGAUUUAUGCUAAGGUAGAAACAAAAACACGAAGGUCAAA